UACGGGGGGAGCAAGCGUUGUUCGGAUUUACUGGGCGUAAAGGGCGCGUAGGCGGCGUGACAAGUCACUUGUGAAAUCUCCGGGCUUAACUCGGAGCGGCCAAGUGAUACUGUCGUGCUAGAGUGCGGAAGGGGCUACUGGAAUUCUCGGUGUAGCGGUGAAAUGCGUAGAUAUCGAGAGGAACACCUGCGGCGAAGGCGGGUUGCUGGGCUGACACUGACGCUGAUGCGCGAAAGCCAGGGGAGCGAACGGG
rnacentral:rRNA from 1 species